GACUAGUUUUCAUAAAGUUCUCCUUCCAACUUCUUUCCAUACUAGUACAUGCUCUAUGUUCCCUUGUAAUAUGGAGUUCAAGUUUAUUUCAAGUAUUAUUCCUUCUUUACAAUAAAAUUGGAUCCUGUGCUCAGUGAACUCUUGGAGUUGGAUCAGAUUGCUAAGAGCUGCCUCAUGUGUGGGAUCAACAAUAUCACUGCAAGAUGGACUCCACUUUUUUCACCAGGUCUUGUGACCUCUCUUGAUCAUUGACCCUUCAAUAAAGCUUACACAGAAGAAUGAAUGAAUCCUCUGGAUUUGAAGAGUGGAUCCGAACACUCCAAAAAGCUAUUGGAUUGCUGAUGGAGUCCUUGUUAUUGAUGGAGACAGCUGAUGUUUUCCUGACAAGAGCAGAUUGAGGCUUCUGGUUAACAAAAGAAAAGGAAAUGAUAUAACUACAGGACCUUCUUCAGUUGGAUCGAAACUGUGCAGGGAUUUGUCAUCCUCAAAAUCCAAGAAGCCAACUUCUAACACUCCACAAGUAUCUGGGUCGUCCAUAGUAGUUCAUACUACUGUGUUACAAUAGGACGGUGGGCACAAUUUAUCUUGCUAGACGGUUAUGGUGUAUUAUCAUCUCUAUAUGUGUGAAACCCCUUUCUUAUAUAUAUAGAUAGAUAGUUAGUUAGUUAGUUAGUUAGUACUUAAUUUGAUAUUUUGAAGGUUUUUUGAAGUGGAAGGAGGUAUUGCAGCAUGAUCACGUAUGUGUAGUCUUGACACGUUUUUCAGACAACGCAUGUGAAUCAACCAUAUUGUUGUUCCGCUCCA